GAUCCUGCCGGACCUGACUGCUAUCGGGAUGGGAUUAAGCCAUGCGAGUCGCAUGUCCCUUAACCAUGUGAGGGGCAUGGCAGACGGCUCAGUAACACGUAGUCAACCUGCCCUGGAGAUGUGGAUAACCCCGGGAAACUGGGAUUAAUCCGCGAUAAGCCAGGAGGCCUGGAACGGUUCCUGGCUGAAAUGGAUGGGUGAGCAUGUUCAUUCCUUCGCUCCAGGAUGGGACUGCGGCCGAUCAGGCCGUUGGUGGGGUAAUGGCCCACCAAACCUAUAACCGGUACGGGCUUUGAGAGAAGGAGCCCGGAGAUGGACACGGAGGCAAGGGUCCAGGCCCUACGGGGCGCAGCAGGCGCGAAACCUUCGCAAUGGGCGAAAGCCCGACGAGGUUAUCCCGAGUGCCACCCGCUGAGGGUGGCUUUUGUCAGUUCUAAGAAGCCUGACGAAUAAGGGGAGGGCAAGACUGGUGUCAGCCGCCGCGGUAAGACCAGCUCCCCGAGUGGUUGGGACGUUUAUUGGGCCUAAAGCAUCCGUAGCCGGCCUGGUAGGUCCUCUGUUAAAUUCAGCGGCUCAACCGCUGAGCUGCAGGGGAUACCGCCAGGCUAGGAGGCGGGAGAAGCGGACGGUACUCCGUGGGUAGGGGUAAAAUCUUUUGAUCCGCGGAAGACCACCAGUGGCGAAGGCGGUCCGCUAGAACGCGCUCGACGGUGAGGGAUGAAAGCUGGGGGAGCGAACCGGAUUAGAUACCCGGGUAGUCCCAGCUGUAAACGAUGCGAGCUAGGUGAUGGAACGGCUAUGAGCCGUUCCAGUGCCGCAGGGAAGCCGUUAAGCUCGCCGCCUGGGGAGUACGGUCGCAAGGCUGAAACUUAAAGGAAUUGGCGGGGGAGCACCACAAGGGGUGAAGCCUGCGGUUCAAUUGGAGUCAACGCCGGGAACCUUACCAGGAGCGACAGCAGGUUGAAGGUCAGGCCGAAGACCUUACCAGACGAGCUGAGAGGAGGUGCAUGGCCGUCGCCAGCUCGUGCCGUGAGGCGUCCUGUUAAGUCAGGCAACGAGCGAGACCCUCGCCUCUAGUUGCCAACCGUCUACCGAAAGGAAGAUGCGGCUAACUAGAGGGACUGCCACCGCUAAAGUGGAGGAAGGAGGGGGCCACGGCAGGUCAGUAUGCCCCGAAACUCCUGGGCCACACGCGGGCUGCAAUGGUAGGGACAAUGGGAUCCGACCCCGAAAGGGGAAGGCAAUCCCCAAACCCUACCUCAGUUGUGACUGAGGGCUGCAACCCGCCCUCACGAAUCUGGAAUCCCUAGUAAUCGCGUGUCAUCACCGCGCGGUGAAUACGUCCCUGCUCCUUGCACACACCGC
rnacentral:rRNA from 1 species